GACGUAGGGGGCGAGCGUUGUCCGGAUUCAUUGGGCGUAAAGCGCGGGCAGGCGGCCCGCUCAGUCGGCCGUGAAAGCGCCGGGCUCAACUCGGCGCGGUCGGGCGAUACUGGCGGGCUCGAGGCUGGUAGAGGGCGGUGGAAUUCCGGGUGUAGUGGUGGAAUGCGUAGAGCUCCGGAGGAACACCAGUGGCGAAGGAGG
rnacentral:rRNA from 1 species